AGACGUCUACAUUAGAUACCCGCGUAGUCCCAGCCGUAAACUAUGCGCGUUAGGUGUAUCGGUGACCACGAGUCACCGAGGUGCCGAAGGGAAACCGUGAAACGUGCCGCCUGGGAAGUACGGUCGCAAGGCUGAAACUUAAAGGAGUUGGCGGGGGAGUACCACAACGGGUGGAGCCUGCGGUUUAAUUGGACUCAACGCCGGGAAGCUCACCGGAUAAGACAGCGGAAUGAUUGCCGGGCUGAAGACUCUGCAUGACUAGCUG
rnacentral:rRNA from 1 species